UACGUAGGGUGCGAGCGUUGUCCGGAAUUAUUGGGCGUAAAGGGCUCGUAGGCGGUUUGUCGCGUCGGGAGUGAAAACUCAGGGCUUAACCCUGAGCCUGCUUCCGAUACGGGCAGACUAGAGGUAUGCAGGGGAGAAUGGAAUUCCUGGUGUAGCGGUGAAAUGCGCAGAUAUCGGGAGGAACACCGGUGGCGAAGGCGGUUCUCUGGGCCUUACCUGACGCUGAGGAGCGAAAGCGUGGGGAGCAAACAGG
rnacentral:rRNA from 1 species